CCUACGGGAGGCAGCAGUGGGGAAUCUUGCGCAAUGGGCGAAAGCCUGACGCAGCGACGCCGCGUGGAGGAAGAAGGCCCUCGGGUUGUAAACUCCUUUCGUGAGGGAAAAAGCCCUGCGUUUAUCGAAGGGUGAUGGUACCUCAGGAAGAAGCCACGGCUAACUCUGUGCCAGCAGCCGCGGUAAGACAGAGGUGGCAAGCGUUGUUCGGAUUUACUGGGCUUAAAGGGCGUGUAGGCGUUCUGAUAAGUGAGAGGUGAAAUCCCCGAGCUUAACUGGGGAAUUGCAUCUAAAACGGUCAGGAUUGAGUCAUACAUGGGAGGGCGGAAUUCCUGGUGUAGGGGUGAAAGGCGUAGAUAUCGGGAGGAAGGCCGGUGGCGAAGGCGGCCCUCGGGGAAAUGACUGACGCUGAGGCGCGAAAGCGUGGGGAGCAAACAGGAUUAGAUACCCUGGUAGU
rnacentral:rRNA from 1 species